rnacentral:lncRNA from 1 species
UUAAAUACUUAGCUCUUCUGCUACUCAUAGCAUAGCUUCGUAUUUGCAUCAUAAAGAGGAAGGGGUGUCACACUUUGUGACCAUUUCUUAUGUGCUCAGUAUCACAUAAGCACUUUCGAAAGAGGCAGCAAUGAAUUCCAGUCUCCUUCUAAAAACCACUAGGAGGAAGAUAAACUGCCCCCAUUCAGCCGCUUCAAUAGGUUGCUAGCUCAGAAUGCAUGACUUCUCCUGAAAAGUCAGCCAGGUGUAUUUAACUAUUUUUGAGUAAAGAUGAGACUAAGAAUCAGGUUUUUCCCUUCCUGGGAUAGUUCUCUAAUUACAAGUUUACAUCUGUAACAGUCAAACCCAGUCCUGCUAAACACAUGCUCUGCUUCUGCCAACUUCAAUGUUCAGCAUUUUUCAGGACCAAGAACCAAGGUAAUCUCCGUAUCCUGCAAGGACUCACUAAAGAAAGUAGCACAGUAUCUGAAGAAAGCACAUUUGCAUGGUCUGUAUUUUUCAUGCUGCUUCAGUAAAAGAAAGAUAAUUGAACAAAAUUAGAAUCUCCUCCAGAAUUUUGUUGUGAGACAUAGACAAAUUAAAAGUUUGAACACUGUUUGGGGCAAAAUGAGAGAACAGAGCAGAGAAGAGAAUUUGGAGCUGUUCUACAU